GAUGAACGCUGGCGGCGUGCCUAAUACAUGCAAGUCGAGCGAACAGACGAGGAGCUUGCUCCUCUGACGUUAGCGGCGGACGGGUGAGUAACACGUGGAUAACCUACCUAUAAGACUGGGAUAACUUCGGGAAACCGGAGCUAAUACCGGAUAAUAUAUUGAACCGCAUGGUUCAAUAGUGAAAGACGGUUUUGCUGUCACUUAUAGAUUGAUCCGCGCCGCAUUAGCUAGUUGGUAAGGUAACGGCUUACCAAGGCAACGAUGCGUAGCCGACCUGAGUGGGUGAGCGGCCACCCUGGAACUGCGACACGGUCCACACUCCUACGGAAGGCAGCAGUAGGCAAUCUUCCGCAAUGGGCGAAAGCCUGACGGAGCAACGCCGCGUGAGUGAUGAAGGUCUUCGGAUCGUAAAACUCUGUUAUUAGGGAAGAACAAAUGUGUAAGUAACUAUGCACGUCUUGACGGUACCUAAUCAGAAAGCCACGGCUAACUACGUG
rnacentral:rRNA from 1 species